GAGAGUUGAGGCGAAGUUUGGGCUGCGCGGCCGGCCCCGGGCUCCGCGCCCCCGGCGUCCCGCCGCUCUCAGCCCCGCCGGGGGCGCCCCUYUCCGCCUGCGUUCCCUCCCCAACCAUGUCGUCCAUCCUGCCCUUCACCCCGCCGAUCGUGAAGCGCCUGCUGGGCUGGAAGAAAGGCGAGCAGAACGGGCAGGAGGAGAAGUGGUGCGAGAAGGCGGUCAAGAGCUUGGUCAAGAAGCUUAAGAAGACGGGGCAGCUGGAUGAACUGGAGAAGGCCAUCACCACGCAGAACGUCAACACCAAGUGCAUCACCAUCCCCAGGUCUUUGGAUGGCCGGCUGCAGGUGUCCCAUCGGAAGGGGCUCCCCCAUGUCAUCUACUGCCGCCUGUGGCGAUGGCCUGACCUGCACAGCCACCAUGAGCUGCGGGCCAUGGAGCUGUGUGAAUUCGCCUUCAACAUGAAGAAGGACGAGGUCUGCGUGAACCCCUACCACUACCAGAGGGUAGAGACGCCAGUUCUACCUCCUGUGCUGGUGCCACGGCACACAGAGAUCCCGGCCGAGUUCCCCCCGCUGGACGACUACAGCCAUUCCAUCCCUGAGAAUACCAACUUCCCCGCCGGCAUCGAGCCCCAGAGCAAUAUUCCAGAGACCCCACCCCCUGGCUACCUGAGUGAAGAUGGAGAGACCAGCGACCACCAGAUGAACCACAGCAUGGACGCAGGUUCUCCAAAUCUGUCCCCAAAUCCGAUGUCCCCAGCACACAAUAACCUGGACCUGCAGCCAGUCACCUACUGCGAGCCAGCCUUCUGGUGCUCCAUCUCCUACUACGAGCUGAACCAGCGUGUCGGGGAGACAUUCCAUGCCUCACAGCCAUCCAUGACGGUGGACGGCUUCACUGACCCCUCCAACUCCGAGCGCUUCUGCCUAGGCCUGCUGUCCAAUGUCAACAGGAACGCUGCCGUGGAGCUCACGCGGAGGCACAUCGGGCGAGGCGUGCGGCUCUACUACAUCGGAGGGGAGGUCUUCGCAGAGUGCCUCAGUGACAGCGCCAUCUUCGUCCAGUCUCCCAACUGUAACCAGCGCUACGGUUGGCAUCCAGCCACCGUCUGCAAGAUCCCACCAGGAUGCAACCUGAAGAUCUUCAACAACCAGGAGUUCGCCGCCCUCUUGGCUCAGUCUGUCAACCAGGGCUUCGAGGCUGUCUACCAGUUGACUCGAAUGUGCACCAUCCGCAUGAGCUUCGUCAAAGGCUGGGGAGCAGAGUACAGGAGACAGACAGUGACCAGCACCCCCUGCUGGAUUGAGCUGCACCUGAAUGGGCCUUUGCAGUGGCUUGACAAGGUUCUCACCCAGAUGGGCUCCCCCAGCAUCCGCUGUUCCAGCGUGUCUUAGAGACCCUGGGAGUGAAGAGGGAGGGGAGGAGAGGGCGGGCUUGGGGAAAAUGGCCAUGGAGGAGAAAGGAGAAAAUCAGAACUCUCCUCAACCCGUUCUUGUCAAGGAAGAAAAUCUUCUCUCUCAACCAAGGUGGCACCAACCUGUUUUCCAAAGCACAGAAGCAAACCCAGUGAUGGAUUUUAUGAACAGUUGUACCUGCUGAACACAUAUGCCCUAGGCUCCAGUGUGAAGGGCAAGAAAUGGCUUCUGCUCCAGUGGCUUGUGCCAACAGGUCAGAAACCAUAAAUGUGAUGAAAUUCCUCAUGCUCCUUGAAGAUGUCGGGGACUUCCUGGCAUCUCACCUACAGGAUCCAGUGCCCCUGCAGCUACGGUCUUGAGAUUCCCAUCUAGGAGAGCUGCUCCCUACACCUUCUGAGGACACAGGAAGAGAUGGAAUGAAUACCUUGCUCACUUGUGUGUGUCUUUCCACAAGGGUGUUGACAGAACCCAGAGAUAAUACAAACCCUCUCACUUCCUCAGAUAGGUGCAAAUGCUGUGGGUAUGGAAUUUGUGCUUGGCUAAAAGUGGUCUGUAGACACACACACACACACACACACACACACACAUACACACACACACACGAGGCCUUCUGAACCUCCCGUGUGUGCCUUCAUGCUCCUGGUCAGCUCAGAACUCGGGGCAGGAAUAUUCCAUUUUGGCUUCUGCUGGAGCAAUCACAGCCCCUCGCAUGCAAGCUGUGGGCAGUGGUUUCUGAGGCUCGCACUCCUCACCUAUUACGUAAGAGCUUCCUAUGGUACAGUUGUCCUCCAGGUGCUUGGGGACAGCUUCAGGUGUAACACAAUCUUGGUGAUGUGCUGGUCAUAACUGGCUGCAUUUUGGAGGGUGUCUUAGAACCCUCAAUGCUCAGAUCUGAUGGAUGCUUCUAAUUGGCAUGAAGUCUUGAGUUUUGUGUUUUUUUCCAAAGGCUGUUUUCUUGACCCUUUUCCUUAAGAGACCACCAGAGGAUAUGUGAGGAAACUGUAGGCAGAUCUACCUUUGGCAUCCGUGAAAAUAAAUUUGGUCAUUUUUGGAUGUCAGGGAAUGGUACCUUUCCCAUCCUGGAACACAAAUAGGUCCUUUGGGCAUGUGUAAUAUUAGUGUUCUUCUUGUCACAAAACUAGUUUUCUUAGUUUUAAAUCUUAUAUGAAUGACAUUUAUACAUUUUAAAAACUUUUUUUAAAGGACAGCUGAAAGAGGCAAGAGGAAAACCAGGGCAAUUUCAGAGGCAUGGGAAGGGCUACCGGACAGCAGUUUUAAGUGUAGUUUGCUCAGGCGACAUGACCUCACGUGCUGCCCCCCAGCUGCAUCCGGUGUCUGCAGCACUCCCAAGGAGCCAGCUUUUAGCACCUUUCCUUCCCACCACUCUCUGCUUCCUCACUUAAUUCAGUAACAGACCCUCCAGUGCACACGCAGGUAGCUGCUCCAGCCGGUUUGGACUACAGGCCUGUGCUGGCGCAUCACCUCAGCUGGCCACCUUCUUGGCAGGCUGUAGAGGACCUGACACCUAUGACUAGCCUGGAGUCAGGAGCAGGGACUCUGACUCUUGGGAAGAACACACAUGAGGGCAAUGCUGCUGGCAGACUUUCCCAUUGUCCUGAUGUGUUUUUUUUUUUUUUAAUUGACCGUAGUUAUUUUUUUAAAUCAUUGUUAAUGUAUUGAAAUGAGCUGUAGCACAUAUUGUGUGCUUAGUCUGUUUUUCUCCAUCUCCCUUUGGCUUCCUAGAGUCUGGACCUAGGCCAGGGCUGAAUGCCUUUACUCAAACCACAGGAAGGUUUUCUUUAAGUAGUGUGUGCAUGUUGUGCAUGGACGUAAGUUGUCUAGGGAGCUGUCAUUCUUAGCCCCACCUGCCAUUUCUGAGGCUUCAUGAUUGUGCCCUCUAGUCUUCAAAAGGAAAGGCUGGGAAAGGACUCUGCAGGCUGCUCGCAGGACUGUUUACCUAGGGGGCCACUAGCAGCCAGAGAUGGCACAAGCUUGGCUCCGGACGCUGUUUCUUACAGAGUGCGUUAAGUGGCUAGAGUUGGGUGUUUUCUCAGAAUGUACAUGUGUCUCAUUUUUACUAGAAGAAAAUCUUAGCACAGCUAGGUUGUGCCAUUUUUCUUUUUGUGGCAUCAACGCUCCCCUGUAGGACCCCUUCAAGUAACAUUCUUCACAUUGUCCAUCCCCCUCUUAAGGAGCAUCGGCCACUUCCUAGAGUGGAUGGAAUGUAGGAAACAUACUCAAGAGAAUGUGGGUCACCAUGACGAUGUAGCACCCCCGAUGGGAGGUGUCAGUCAGCGGGGAUGACUUGGUACACAGGCACCUCCUCAGAAACACAGCUGUCAUGUAAAAGAAACUCACCUCUUGGGCAAACUGGAGUGAGAAAUUCUCAGUGAUUCUGUAAUUGAUUUUUGUUUUUUUUAAUGCAGAAAUAAUGGAUACUCUAGCAUUCUGGUGUUUUUAUAUUUAUGUAAUAAUUUCUUAAAACCAUUCAGACAGAUAACUAUUUAAUUUUUUAAGACAGUUGCGAAGGCCUCUCCCUUCUGAGGUCAGUGGCUGGAAGAGUUGGGUACAGCCAGUUCUGAAUGUUGGUGCCUUGAGGAGUGUAGUGGCUUUUUUGGCUCAGCAUCUAAAACUCCAAGCGAGGCUGGCUGCACAAGUGACAGUGUGUAAAAUCAGGCAGCUCUGAGUCAAAUCUAGGCCUCCACAGGGAUCCUGGGGUGAAGACGCCACCCAGAGAAGGAACCACUUUUAUCCAGGAGGCCUGCACUGCUGCCACUGCCAACAGGCUGUUCUGGACUCCUGUGUUGGCACGUGUCGGGGUGAAGACGAGAAUGUGGAGGAUGUUGAUUACCUUCACUAUUCAGCCAGCCUGACCUUUUAAUAUCUUUGUAAAAAGCAUGUACCUAUUUAUAGUGUUUUAGAUUUUUCUAAGUUUUGUAUCUUAAAAGCAGAGCACCUGUUCUAAGCAUUGUACCCCUACUGUUAAAGAUCCGUGUCCAUUCCCCUUCCCUUCCUCUUGUAAGUGCCCUUCUAAUAAACUUUUCAUUGAA